CAAUAGCGUAUAUUUAAGUUGCUGCGGUUAAAAAGCUCGUAGUUGGAUUUCGGGUGGGAAUGGCCGGUCCGCCGUUUCGGUGUGCACUUGCUACGCCCACCUUGCUGCCGGGGACGUGCUCUUGAGUUCACGCUCGGGACACGGAGUCGGCGAGGUUACUUUGAGUAAAUUAGAGUGUUCAAAGCAGGCCUACGCUCUGAAUACAUUAGCAUGGAAUAACACGAUAGGACUCUGGCCUAUCUUGUUGGUCUGUAGGACCGGAGUAAUGAUUAAGAGGGACAGUCGGGGGCAUUCGUAUUUCAUUGUCAGAGGUGAAAUUCUUGGAUUUACGGAAGACGAACUACUGCGAAAGCAUUUACCAAGGAUGUUUUCAUUAA
rnacentral:rRNA from 1 species